CCCUACGGGGCGCAGCAGUGGGGAAUAUUGCACAAUGGGCGAAGGCCUGAUGCAGCAACGCCGCGUGAAGGAGGAAGGUCUUCGGAUCGUAAAGUUCUGUUGAAGGGGAAAAAGAGCGGAGAGAGGAAAUGGUCUCCGAUUGAUAUUACCCUUCGAGGAAGUCACGGCUAACUACGUGCCAGCAGCCGCGGUAAUACGUAGGUGGCGAGCGUUAUCCGGAAUGAUUGGGCGUAAAGGGUGCGUAGGCGGCCUGCUAAGUCUGGAGUGAAAGGUACCGGCUCA
rnacentral:rRNA from 1 species